AUUGAACGCUGGCGGCAGGCCUAACACAUGCAAGUCGAGCGGAUGAAGGGAGCUUGCUCCUGGAUUCAGCGGCGGACGGGUGAGUAAUGCCUAGGAAUCUGCCUGGUAGUGGGGGAUAACGUCCGGAAACGGGCGCUAAUACCGCAUACGUCCUGAAGGAGAAAGUGGGGGAUCUUCGGACCUCACGCUAUCAGAUGAGCCUAGGUCGGAUUAGCUAGUUGGUGGGGUAAAGGCCUACCAAGGCGACGAUCCGUAACUGGUCUGAGGGGAUGAUCAGUCACACUGGAACUGAGACACGGUCCAGACUCCUACGGGAGGCAGCAGUGGGGAAUAUUGGACAAUGGGCGAAAGCCUGAUCCAGCCAUGCCGCGUGUGUGAAGAAGGUCUUCGGAUUGUAAAGCACUUUAAGUUGGGAGGAAGGGCAGUAAGUUAAUACCUUGCUGUUUUGACGUUACCAACAGAAUAAGCACCGGCUAACUUCGUG
rnacentral:rRNA from 1 species